rnacentral:misc_RNA from 1 species
UGGCUCUCGCAUCGAUGAAGAACGCAGCGAAAUGCGAUAAGUAAUGUGAAUUGCAGAAUUCAGUGAAUCAUCGAAUCUUUGAACGCACCUUGCGCCCUUUGGUAUUCCGAAGGGCAUGCCUGUUUGAGUGUCAUUAAUCUCUCAAAACUUUACCGUUUUGGAAUCUGGAGGGUUGCAGAGUGAUCUGCUCCUCUUGAAAUGAAUUAGCGGCGAAACCCUGAACUUUGCCCCAGCGUGAUAACUAUCAUCGUUGCUGCUCAGCUUUCUUAUGGUGUCUGCUCACAACCGUCGAAAGACAAACGAAAAAAAAAAAUGACGAUUUGACCUCAAAUCAGGUAGGACUACCCGCUGA